rnacentral:rRNA from 1 species
AUACGAACCGUACGAACGUUAUUCGGAAUCACUGGGCUUAAAGAGUGCGUAGGCGGCCCGGUAAGUUGGGUGUGAAAUCCCUCGGCUCAACCGAGGAACUGCGCCCAAAACUGCCGGACUCGAGGGAGACAGAGGUGAGCGGAACUAAUGGUGGAGCGGUGAAAUGCGUUGAUAUCAUUAGGAACACCAGAAGCGAAGGCGGCUCACUGGGUCUCUUCUGACGCUGAGGCACGAAAGCUAGGGGAGCGAACGGGAUUAGAAACCCCUGUAGUCC